AAACUUAAAGGAAUUGACGGGGACCCGCACAAGCGGUGGAUGAUGUGGAUUAAUUCGAUGCAACGCGAAAAACCUUACCUACCCUUGACAUGUCAGGAAUCCUGCUGAGAGGUGGGAGUGCUCGAAAGAGAACCUGAACACAGGUGCUGCAUGGCUGUCGUCAGCUCGUGUCGUGAGAUGUUGGGUUAAGUCCCGCAACGAGCGCAACCCUUGUCAUUAGUUGCCAUCAUUCAGUUGGGCACUCUAAUGAGACUGCCGGUGACAAACCGGAGGAAGGUGGGGAUGACGUCAAGUCCUCAUGGCCCUUAUGGGUAGGGCUUCACACGUCAUACAAUGGUCGGUACAGAGGGUUGCCAAGCCGCGAGGUGGAGCCAAUCCCAGAAAGCCGAUCGUAGUCCGGAUCGGAGUCUGCAACUCGACUCCGUGAAGUCGGAAUCGCUAGUAAUCGUGGAUCAGCAUGCCACGGUGAAUACGUUCCCGGGUCUUGUACACACCGCCCGUCACACCAUGGGAGUGGGUUUCACCAGAAGUAGGUAGCCUAACCGCAAGGAGGGCGCUUACCACGGUGGGAUUCAUGACUGGGGUGAAGUCGUAACAAGGUAGCCGUAGGGGAACCUGCGGCUGGAUCACCUCCUUUAUG
rnacentral:rRNA from 1 species